rnacentral:rRNA from 1 species
GACGAACGCUGGCGGCGUGCCUAAUACAUGCAAGUAGAACGCUGAAGAGAGGAGCUUGCUCUUCUUGGAUGAGUUGCGAACGGGUGAGUAACGCGUAGGUAACCUGCCUGGUAGCGGGGGAUAACUAUUGGAAACGAUAGCUAAUACCGCAUAAAAUGGAUUAUCGCAUGAUAAUCCAUUGAAAGGUGCAAAUGCAUCACUACCAGAUGGACCUGCGUUGUAUUAGCUAGUUGGUGGGGUAACGGCUCACCAAGGCGACGAUACAUAGCCGACCUGAGAGGGUGAUCGGCCACACUGGGACUGAGACACGGCCCAGUCUCCUACGGGAGGCAGCAGUAGGGAAUCUUCGGCAAUGGACGGAAGUCUGACCGAGCAACGCCGCGUGAGUGAAGAAGGUUUUCGGAUCGUAAAGCUCUGUUGUAAGAGAAGAACGAGUGUGAGAGUGGAAAGUUCACACUGUGACGGUAUCUUACCAGAAAGGGACGGCUAACUACGUG